UGGGAGAAGAGGAGGGCUUUGGGCUGUUGGAUAAUUACUAAUGCCCUAGAUUGGUCCUGGAUAAAUUGACCCUAGAGUUUAAUCAUUCAAGCAGAGUGAUCAUUCCCAGUAGCACCAAGUAGCAUUAACUGAGAUCCGGGCCCUGCUGUUCUGGACACUGAAUUGACACCCCGAAAGAGACCGUUGGUACCUGAAGAAUUUACAUUCUACGUACACUGCACACACAAAAGCUCUUUCUGCAGAGUGAUACUGAAGAGGAGAGGGAUUCUUUUCCCUGAAAAUAUUGUACCCUUGACCACUCUCGAGGAGGAGAUCAAUCUAUAAAAGUGAAAGAUUGAUCUAUGAGGGCUAUAAAUUUGGAAGAUAGCUAUUGGAUUGGAAUAGACUUGGCUUCAGAAUAUUAGGCAGAAGGUGGUAUUAAAAGAUAUCAUAACAGUUCAGGAUCAGGGCAGCAGCAUUAACUGGGUUGCUAGCAGGGACAGAGAAGUGUGUGUGUUCUGAUACCUUGUGUUUAUAAAAGAUCACAAAAAAAAGGCUGAAUUUCACAAUUAGAAGUUUGAAAUGAUUUGCAUGGAUUAUACAUACAGGCAGAUGCACACACCAUCUGUGGAAGCAUGUUCUGCUCUCACUGUGUACAAAAUCUCUGUCUUGGAGCGUUCCUGUGUAGCCAAGGACAGAGUCAGUCCCAAAGCCAAGUAAGCAGAACAAACAAAGCAUUUCCAAUAGCCCCUCUCUUUCAAGAAAACCAAGUGAAUCAUGGCACAUUGUUUGCAGUGCUGUAAUGUAAGGAAAAUGCUAGCGUUUUCACAGCAGCACUGAGCUCUGAGGGCUGGGAAUCUGAGCCGUACAAAAUCUGACACAAAUAUACCAAUUGCCAUUAGUCUCAAGGGCCUGCUUAGCUCACAGUUCUUUCCUGGAUGGUAACUCCCAAUCCAGCAAUGGUGACUGUUCACUUCUGUAUAAAAAGAGCUGCGCGGAGACCAGAUAAAGAAGUCAAGUACUAAGCUUGGUGCUGCCUGAUUUUGUACUUUUCCUUCAGGCUAUUGCUUUUGAAACCAUAUAUAUUUGAAUUUAGAUGAUGCUUCAUGCAUCAUUAAAGAGAAUUUGUGCAUACUGGGCCAGAGCAGACAUCACCAUUUUAUAUACACGAGCAUAUUGACCAGAUCCUCAGCCUUUUGCAAGUCCCUGUUCUGCCACUGGAGUGGCUCAAAGAGGAGUUAGUGCUGCAUUAAGGCAUCGCUGAGGACUCUGGGUAGAUGGUGUUUUGUUGGGGAUGGGGAACUGACAUUUCCAGGCCAGGAGAGAGCCUCCGUGAGAGCUGCUAUCCAGCAGCAUAAGUUAGAGCAUCUCUUAGCCCUUCAUCUGCCCCCUCCACUGCCCAUCAGGUGCUGCUCUGCUUCCCCUCCAGAGCAGGAGUAGAGCAACUCAAACUCA